GACAGAGGUCUCAAGCGUUGUUCGGAUUCAUUGGGCGUAAAGGGCGCGUAGGCGGCGGGGUAAGUCGGGUGUGAAAUCUCAGAGCUCAACUCUGGAACUGCACUCGAUACUGCUCUGCUUGAGGACUGGAGAGGAGACUGGAAUUCACGGUGUAGCAGUGAAAUGCGUAGAGAUCCGGAAGAACACCGGUGGCGAAGGCGGCCUGCUGGGCAGUGGCUGACGCUGAGGCGCGACAGCGUGGGGAGCAAACAGG
rnacentral:rRNA from 1 species